rnacentral:rRNA from 1 species
UACGUAGGGUGCGAGCGUUAAUCGGAAUUACUGGGCGUAAAGCGUGCGCAGGCGGUUUUGUAAGCCAGAUGUGAAAUCCCCGGGCUCAACCUGGGAAUGGCAUUUGGGACUGCAAGGCUGGAGUGCGGCAGAGGAGACUGGAAUUCCUGGUGUAGCAGUGAAAUGCGUAGAUACCAGGAGGAAUACCGAUGGCGAAGGCAGGUCUCUGGGCUGACACUGACGCUCAUGCGCGAAAGCGUGGGGAGCAAACAGG